UGGGGAAUUUUGGACAAUGGGGGCAACCCUGAUCCAGCCAUCCCGCGUGUGCGAUGAAGGCCUUCGGGUUGUAAAGCACUUUUGGCAGGGAAGAAACAGCCUGGGCUAAUAUCCCGGGCGACUGACGGUACCUGCAGAAUAAGCACCGGCUAACUACGUGCCAGCAGCCACGGUAAUACGUAGGGUGCAAGCGUUAAUCGGAAUUACUGGGCGUAAAGCGUGCGCAGGCGGUUCGGAAAGAAAGGUGUGAAAUCCCAGGGCUUAACCUUGGAACUGCACUUUUAACUACCGGGCUAGAGUACGUCAGAGGGGGGUAGAAUUCCACGUGUAGCAGUGAAAUGCGUAGAGAUGUGGAGGAAUACCGAUGGCGAAGGCAGCCCCCUGGGAUGAUACUGACGCUCAUGCACGAAAGCGUGGGGAGCAAACA
rnacentral:rRNA from 1 species